rnacentral:lncRNA from 1 species
UCCAGCCACCAGAUCGGCCAUCACAGAAGGAAAACCAACCGAAGGAUAGUAGAAGGGAGCAGGAAACCGAGACUUGAAAGGCGCGCCGAUCUCCCAACCGUGGCUGCGGUGGGCGACACCGCCGGUGUAGAAAUGAAGGAGGAAGAUGGAAGUUGCCGAUCCUGCCAUCCACAUGCCUGACCUGUCAUCGGCAGCGCGUGUAACGCCCAGCUUCAGAUUCGGCAGAUUUGAAGAAAAUAGAGGAGAAGCAGAUCCGAAAACA